rnacentral:lncRNA from 1 species
AAAAAUCCUAAAACUACGCAUAAACAUUAAAUUAUUUAGAAAAUCAUUCGUUUGCAUGCCGAAAAUAAUACAUAGCAUUUAGUUUAGACAAUUCAAAAGUAGAUCUCGACAGUUCUUUGAAUUUCUCUACAGUUUCGCCUGUUAUAUGUUACGUAAAUCUACAUAUAAAAAGAAAUAGCAUGUAAAUUACAAAAUUCAAGAACAUAAAAUCAACAAAUUGUUAAGAAAUUAAAACAAAAAUUUAAGCAGCUUAAUUACCAGAAGCAAAGAGGGAUGAGGAGGGAUAUGGACCAAAGUGAGAACAGCCUUUGAAACAAUAGCAGCAACUGGGACGUUGAUGACAGAUUCAACUAGACUUUGGACCAUACUGGGUGGAGCUAAGACAACGACGAUGGAUGAAUGGUUUUGUGAACUUAAUAGCCAAAAGCAUGAUUUCCUUUGCCUUUUUAGUUUCUAGCUUAGAUUUUGUCCCACUGCCGCAUAAAAUCAAAUCAAAAAGUUAUAAGCUAAAAAAUUAUAAAUAGCAAGCCAUAAAUUCAAGGCUGAUAGUAAACAAGAAAUUUAACUUGAGAUCAGUUUUCUUUUGAGGGAUAAUGAGUGUGUUGAGUUUUUCAUGAGUCGGAGUUUCAUAUUUCUCCAUUAUUUGGGAAAAAAAAAAAAAAAAAAAGAAGUUUCUUCGUCUCAGUUGCUGUUGGAGCUUCUUUUGUCAACAAAAUGAAAAUAAUAAUGAAGAGGAUGUGAG